rnacentral:tRNA from 1 species
GGUGCGGUAGCCAAGUGGUUAGGCACCGGUUUGCAAAACCGGCAUACGUGGGUUCAAAUCCCAUCCGCACCU